rnacentral:rRNA from 1 species
AGUGAACGCUGGCGAUAGGCCUAACACAUGCAAGUCGAACGGCAGCACAGUAAGAGCUUGCUCUUACGGGUGGCGAGUGGCGGACGGGUGAGGAAUACAUCGGAAUCUACUUUUUCGUGGGGGAUAACGUAGGGAAACUUACGCUAAUACCGCAUACGACCUACGGGUGAAAGCAGGGGAUCUUCGGACCUUGCGCGAUUGAAUGAGCCGAUGUCGGAUUGGCUAGUUGGCGGGGUAAAGGCCCACCAAGGCGACGAUCCGUAGCUGGUCUGAGAGGAUGAUCAGCCACACUGGAACUGAGACACGGUCCAGACUCCGACGGGAGGCAGCAGUGGGGAAUAUUGGACAAUGGGCGCAAGCCUGAUCCAGCCAUACCGCGUGGGUGAAGAAGGCCUUCGGGUUGUAAAGCCCUUUUGUUGGGAAAGAAAAGCAGCAGGUUAAUACCCCGCUGUUCUGACGGUACCCAAAGAAUAAGCACCGGCUAACUUCGUG